GAUGAACGCUGGCGGCGUGCCUAAUACAUGCAAGUCGAGCGAACGGACGAGAAGCUUGCUUUUCUGAUGUUAGCGGCGGACGGGUGAGUAACACGUGGAUAACCUACCUAUAAGACUGGGAUAACUUCGGGAAACCGGAGCUAAUACCGGAUAAUAUUUUGAACCGCAUGGUUCAAAAGUGAAAGACGGUCUUGCUGUCACUUAUAGAUGGAUCCGCGCUGCAUUAGCUAGUUGGUAAGGUAACGGCUUACCAAGGCAACGAUGCAUAGCCGACCUGAGAGGGGGAUCGGCCACACUGGAACGAAGACACGGUCCAGACUCCUACGGGAGGCAGCAGUAGGGAAUCUUCCGCAAUGGGCGAAAGCCUGACGGAGCAACGCCGCGUGAGUGAUGAAGGUCUUCGGAUCGUAAAACUCUGUUAUUAGGGAAGAACAUAUGUGUAAGUAACUGUGCACAUCGUGACGGUACCUAAUCAGAAAGCCACGGCUAACUACGUG
rnacentral:rRNA from 1 species